CAUUUCUCACCGAAACGCACGUGAGCAGCAAAUUCUAAAUGUUUUCCAGAAGAAUGUUGGAAAAUCAUAUACGUCCUCGGAGCUUGUAAAGAUAGUCUACCAGGAGAUCCCUGAAAAUUUACUUCUAGCAGCAGAAAGUAACCUCCUAGUCCACUUGAAGAAGUUGGAAAAAGAAGGAAAAGUGUUACGUGAAGCAUCUCCCAACUUCAGAUGGAAACACAAUUUAUAAAUUACACAAGAUUGCUCAAGAAUAUUUUUAAUCUGCACAGUUGCAGCGUGAAAAAAUAUAACGAUGAGCACAGACAGUAUGUAAAAUACAAUGUAAUUCUUCACUCUUCUUUUUUUAAAGUGGUAAUAGAAUUUUAAAGCAAUGUUACAGUCUGUGGACUAAUGUUUUUUCAUACUCUGUUCUCUGGGAAUUUUAAAAAAUAACCUGAUAAUUUUUAAAAGUAACCUUGUAGGUACCGAAUUAAUAAAAUGGAAUGAGUUUGAAGAACUGAAUGUUACCUCUGUUAUAAAAUACCCAGUUUUUCAUCGGUGGCAGAAGGAAAAAUAGCAAGGUCUAAUAAACUUAAUAUUACAAAGCAAUAUUGUAAACUUAAUAAAUAUAUUAAAAAAUCUCUAGUAAAAA